GUAACUAUACUUGUUCUGCUUGAGUUAAGUGGGUAUAUGUUUAUAUUGAUGUUGUCAGGCGAAGCUGAAAAGGAGUACUGGGGUCUUCUUCGCAGCAAAGACAGGUUUGACAAGGGUGGCCGUGGAGGAAGGGGAGGAAAACGAGGAGGAAGAUUCGGGAGAAAGAGGGGAUCUGAUUCCCCCGGUGGUCGCUGGAACAAAUCUCAGAAGGUUGAAGCAUGAUUACACACUUUGUUUCUACUCUCGUUUUCUCUUUUUAUAGCUCGUGACUUGUUGCUUCUCAAUCUAUGUGUAACCUCACAGCCGAAACCUUUUAUCAUCUACUUGUUACAUGUUGUGAUGCUAUAACUAUUAAGUCAGCAAUUAAAUUUUGCUUAGAUCA